ACACGAGAAAGGAGGUGGUCCGACGGUGAAUAUCCACAGGACUCGUGAGGUGGCUGUCCACUGACAGCGCACACGGGCCGACCAGAAGCCUUGUGUGCCUGCCGGUGAAUACCAGGCAGUCACCGGCCUCCAGUGCUCCCGGGACCCGGUCCGACCCGGGCCCGAACGGCUGACGACGUUCGGGAGCCGCACUGGGGGCUUCCCU
rnacentral:sRNA from 1 species